rnacentral:rRNA from 1 species
CCUACGGGGGGCAGCAGUGGGGAAUACUGCACAAUGGGGGAAACCCUGAUGCAGCAACGCCGCGUGAGCGAUGAAGGCCUUCGGGUCGUAAAGCUCUGUCCUAAGGGACGAAUACUGACGGUACCUUAGGAGGAAGCCCCGGCUAACUACGUGCCAGCAGCCGCGGUAAUACGUAGGGUGCUAGCGUUAUCCGGAAUUACUGGGCGUAAAGGGUGCGGAGGCGGCCCUUCAAGUCAGAGGUAAAAGGCCACGGCUCAACCGUAGUAAGCCUUUGAAACUGUAGGUCUUGAGUGCAGGAGAGGAGAGUGGAAUUCCGAGUGUUGCGGUGCAAUGCCUAGAUAUUGGGAAGAACUCCAGUUGAGAAGGCGGCUCUCUGGACUGUAGCUGACGAUGAGGCACGAAAGCGUGGGGAGCGAACAGAAUUAGAAUCCCCUGUAGUC